GUGGGGAAUAUUGGGCAAUGGGCGCAAGCCUGACCCAGCAACGCCGCGUGAAGGAAGAAGGCUUUCGGGUUGUAAACUUCUUUGACAGGGGACGAAACAAAUGACGGUACCCUGAAAACAAGCCACGGCUAACUACGUGCCAGCAGCCGCGGUAAUACGUAGGUGGCAAGCGUUAUCCGGAUUUACUGGGUGUAAAGGGCGUGUAGGCGGGAUUACAAGUCAGAUGUGAAAACUAUGGGCUCAACCCAUAGCCUGCAUUUGAAACUGUAGUUCUUGAGUGAUGGAGAGGCAGACGGAAUUCCUCGUGUAGCGGUGAAAUGCGUAGAUAUGAGGAGGAACACCAGUGGCGAAGGCGGUCUGCUGGACAUUAACUGACGCUGAGGCGCGAAAGCGUGGGGAGCAAACAGGAUUAGAAACCCCUGUAGUCC
rnacentral:rRNA from 1 species